UGUGGCUCAGUGGUAGAGUGCUUGCCUGACAUGUGUGAAGCACUGGGUUCGAGUCUCAGCA
rnacentral:tRNA from 1 species